rnacentral:rRNA from 1 species
UCGAGAAUUUUUGACAAUGGGGGAAACCCUGAUCGAGCGACGCCGCGUGGAGGAUGAAGGUCUUCGGAUUGUAAACUCCUGUCAUUGGGGAACAAGGUGCAUACGUUAACUGCGUGUGUAUUGAUAGUACUCGAAGAGGAAGAGACGGCUAACUCUGUGCCAGCAGCCGCGGUAAUACAGAGGUCUCAAGCGUUGUUCGGAUUCAUUGGGCGUAAAGGGUGCGUAGGCGGCGCGGUAAGUCGGGUGUGAAAUCUCGGGGCUUAACUCCGAAACUGCAUUCGAUACUGCCGUGAUUGAGGACUGGAGAGGAGACUGGAAUUUACGGUGUAGCGGUGAAAUGCGUAGAUAUCGUAAGGAAGACCAGUGGCGAAGGCGGGUCUCUGGACAGUUCCUGACGCUGAGGCACGAAGGCCAGGGGAGCAAACGGGAUUAGAUACCCCGUAGUCC